rnacentral:rRNA from 1 species
AUUGAACGCUGGCGGCAGGCCUAACACAUGCAAGUCGAGCGGAUGAAGGGAGCUUGCUCCUGGAUUCAGCGGCGGACGGGUGAGUAAUGCCUAGGAAUCUGCCUGGUAGUGGGGGAUAACGUCCGGAAACGGGCGCUAAUACCGCAUACGUCCUGAGGGAGAAAGUGGGGGAUCUUCGGACCUCACGCUAUCAGAUGAGCCUAGGUCGGAUUAGCUAGUUGGUGGGGUAAAGGCCUACCAAGGCGACGAUCCGUAACUGGUCUGAGAGGAUGAUCAGUCACACUGGAACUGAGACACGGUCCAGACUCCUACGGGAGGCAGCAGUGGGGAAUAUUGGACAAUGGGCGAAAGCCUGAUCCAGCCAUGCCGCGUGUGUGAAGAAGGUCUUCGGAUUGUAAAGCACCUUAAGUUGGGAGGAAGGGCAGUAAGUUAAUACCUUGCUGUUUUGGCGUUACCAACAGAAUAAGCACCGGCUAACUUCGUG